AUUGAACGCUGGCGGCAGGCUUAACACAUGCAAGUCGAGCGGAGAGAGGUAGCUUGCUACUGAUCUUAGCGGCGGACGGGUGAGUAAUGCUUAGGAAUCUGCCUAUUAGUGGGGGACAACAUUUCGAAAGGAAUGCUAAUACCGCAUACGUCCUACGGGAGAAAGCAGGGGAUCUUCGGACCUUGCGCUAAUAGAUGAGCCUAAGUCGGAUUAGCUAGUUGGUGGGGUAAAGGCCUACCAAGGCGACGAUCUGUAGCGGGUCUGAGAGGAUGAUCCGCCACACUGGGACUGAGACACGGCCCAGACUCCUACGGGAGGCAGCAGUGGGGAAUAUUGGACAAUGGGCGGAAGCCUGAUCCAGCCAUGCCGCGUGUGUGAAGAAGGCCUUAUGGUUGUAAAGCACUUUAAGCGAGGAGGAGGCUACUUUAGUUAAUACCUAGAGAUAGUGGACGUUACCCGCAGAAUAAGCACCGGCUAACUCUGUGCCAGCAGCCGCGGUAAAAC
rnacentral:rRNA from 1 species